AGCCCACCCCAACUCCAUCCCCUUCCAUUCCCUUCCAAAGGGCAGCCAGCCCUAAGCCCAGCCUGGCCAGGCCUGAGGGUUUCACACUGUCUAGGAUGUCAACCCUUUCCGAAGCUACUUUUGAAGGCCUUUAUAUCUGGACAGGCUCCAAGGUUGGGCUCUCACCUGCAAGGAAUGAAGAAGAGUGGCUGCACUUGCCAGUGGCCCCAGGGUCUUGCAAUCAUCGCUUUGAAUGCAGCUUUUGUCCACACUCUGCCCCCUGAGCCCAGCAGCAUUCCCGGGCAUCAGCUACCAGCACCUCAUGCUGUGGAAAUGGCACUGCUCAGCCUGCCAGUCUGGGAAGGCUGGAGGGCAUUGGGUGCUCAUUUGCUGUCAAAAAUAAAUAGUUUUGUUGUCGUCAUUGCCA